GGGAUUGUUCCCUGUAAUUAGUCCAAUCGAAUUGAGUUUAGGCAGGCUUGGAUUACAACGGAUGGGCUGUUUACCAUCAGUAGUUGAUUUAAUUAUUUUUGGGAGUUUUAUUUAAUUAUGGCUUAAUCAGCUUUUUUCUUUGUUUCUGAUGAAUUACCGGAGCGCGUGUCGCGCCAACUUCAUCUAAUUUCAAUUGUUCAAGUUUAAGACACAGUUUUAACGAUUCGAAUUUUUUAGUUUUAGUUAGGUUUGUUAAUGUUAGUGACGCUAACAAACCUUAAAACUUGCUAAUGAUAAUGCGAUUAAGAGCCACGCCCCAUUUAUUUUUCUAAACUGUUCGCCUAAUCCUAGUUUUCCAACCAUAAACGAACCUUUGUAAAAUCUUGUUUACGAAGGAGGGAUUUUAUGGAGGUCUAGAUAUAAAGUUUGCGAAUGAUUCCAAGAUAAAAAUACGCCAAAAAGCCCACUCUGUCACUACUAUGUUUGUCUUUUGAUGACUAACAUGCCCUAGAUAUUUAUCACCAAUUGUGAAAAGGAAUAUCAUUAAUUACCUUAUUCUUCUCGAUUUGAUGGCAAGGUGAGCUGCGACAUAACUCGCUUUGUCUGUUCUAAAUAAGGACAAAUAAUAAGGUGCAGCGUAAUGCAUGUUAAUACAACAAUACAUCAAUCAUAAUUGCGUUAGUUCCAAGUUGGAAAGAAAUUUUGAUUGAAAUUAAAGUCGAUAAUCGCGAAGUUGCAUCUAGGAGAAACUUUGUACUUUAACAAACUGUAGGUGUAGCAUAUCGAGGAUUAUCUUUAUUAUUUAUAACUUUGAACAGUGAUGGCCUUAUUAUAAAGGUGAGUUAUUUUUUUAUUUUCUCGACUGAAAGCAAAAAAUUUUAUGUCAAAAAAGAUCCUGACAGCAAAUUGUGAACUCUGGGGCUAAAUUAUCAUUGACUACAGGGUGUUCCGUUUAAAGUACCUAAGUUCAACCGUUUUCGAGAUAUUUAUAAAUUUUUGAAAAUUUUUGAAUUUGCAUCUGUCACUUAAAAAAUCGGUAACUUUCUUAGUUUUAGAGAUUUCGAAAUCAUAUUUGGAGAAUUAAAAGAGAAAACCUAUAUUUGUUCUUCAGUGUAUACAAAAUUGGAAAAGAAGUAAAUAAACCCAAAAAUUUUAUGGUUAGAUUUUAUAGUCAAGUACCCAUAGGUUAAUUUUUUCAAAUGGGAUGUUCUAAUUUUUAGGAGAUUUUUUUUUUGCAUUAAUCUGUGUUAUCAUUCCCUAUACCUAUCUGUGAUAAUUUUCAAGUUAUGUUGGUUCUGACAUUGUAGAAAAUUUCUUACUAACCACAGCUGUUUUUACAAAACAUUUUUAAAUAAACAAACGACAAACUCUGUUAAAAAUUGUGUUGUCCGUCCUGUGAAAACUUAAUAAGUUCACUGAAUGUUGGUUUAAAAAACUUUAAUUUUUCACAUUUUUUCUCUGGUUUCCGUGGCAGCCUAUGAGAAAAAGUCUAUGGCUAAUGAAUUUCUCAAUCCCAACAAAAAGUUAUUGUAACUGGAAAAGUAUUAAACAUAACUAUAGGGAAUGCUAAUACAGAUCGGUGCAGAAUUAAAUUCUCUACGAUUUAAUGAAAUAAAACUUGUGGCAUUUCAUUUGAAAAAAUUGAGUUAUGGGUGCUUAAUCUUCUGAAAACUUAACUUUAAACAUUUGGGGCUUGUUAUUUUUUUAGAAAUUUGAAAACACUAAAGGAAAGAUCUAGGCUUCCUCUUUCAAAUGAGCUAAAAAACAUUUUCAAAAUUAAAAAAAUGGCAGAGUUAUCGAUUUUUGAACUAGAAGGUGCAAAUUCAAAAACAAUUUAAAAAUCCAAAUUUUUUUUAAUAAGAAAUUAAAAGACAAGAUCUCUACACCAAUCUUUAGUUAAUUAGAAAUCGAUCCACUUUUUGGUAACUGUGACCUUGAGUAGAAAAGUAGGUGGGUUUGUUUACAUCUGAUGUAUCAGAUUCUGUAAGCUUUUUGGUCAAGACACGACAUGCGUUUCAUUUUAACACACAUUGAAAGACAAGGACAGUGUAUUCAAAUUAAAAUUUAUAUUUUUAAUAAUUACUAUGUUGUUAAUUUUUAAUCCUCAUCAAUCAUUAAAUUCAAUACUUGGGAACUUGUUUCCAGCGUUUUUUGUCUUUUAACAUAAUAAAAGGCUUUACGUCUUGACUAUCAAAGCUGUAACCUUAGUAUAACGACCCAAGAAGCUCUUAUGUUUCCUAAUAGUCCACUGUUACAUAAUGGUGCAUUAAUACGGUAGAAUCCGGUUAUAACGAAGUUGCAUGAGAACUUGAAAUUACUGGAUUACAACCGAAUUUCGCUUCAGCCGGAAAAAAAUUAAACUUGAUAACUGCCAAUUUACCCAAGUGUUAUUACACGUACGGUGAAAUAAUUUUGCCGCACUGGGUUGUAAGUAACUGUCCUGCCGGCAAUUAAGUCCUGCUGAAAUGUAUCAACAGAUAGGUGCGGAAAGUUUAUAUUUUUAUGGCAACACAAGUUGGCAUUCCAUCUCCUUUCACUCUGUUCGUCGUUUUGUAUUCAGACCGACAGCGACAUCGCAAGUUCGUUGAAUCGGAAACUAUUCUGUUCGUUUUUGUUAGCUGUUCUUGUAUCGACUAUAUUUACCGAUAGGAUGAAUUUUUGCCAAAUAUGUCAUAGAUGUUUAUGUCGCAUUAUUUAUUAUACUUCAGCAUGAAACGCUGAAAUACCUGCUUGGUCGCUGCAGAACUUUCAGCCGGUAAUAAAUUUAAUUUUCAACCCACACCAAGGAUUAAUGACGGUGUUGUUGGAGAGGUUUGUAGGUCAAUAAGAUCACGACUACGCGGUAUAAACAGGAUAAGGAGAUGAUAUUAGUCACUAGGCGGAGAUCUGUUUAUAGCAGCGGUUUCCGGGUUAAUGCAACCUAUUGCCCAUACAUCCAGUGAUGGAAGGUGAAGAUUAUUUGAUUAGGAUGGCCCAUACUUAAUUAUUCAGAACUUUGUACAAUUGUAUAUUGUCAUACUUUCCUGAAAUAAAGACGAAUUCUCUUCA